AGUAACGGCGAGUGAAGCGGCAACAGGUCAAAUUUGAAAUCUGGCGCAAGCCCGAGUUGUAAUUUGUAGAGGAUGUUUCUGGCGACGUGCCUUCCGGGUUCCCUGGAACGGGACGCCAUAGAGGGUGAGAGCCCCGUACGGUUGGAUGCCUAGCCUCUGUGAAACUCCUUCGACGAGUCGAGUUGUUUGGGA
rnacentral:rRNA from 1 species